UACGGAGGGUGCAAGCGUUAAUCGGAAUUACUGGGCGUAAAGCGCACGCAGGCGGUUUGUUAAGUCAGAUGUGAAAUCCCCGGGCUCAACCUGGGAACUGCAUUUGAAACUGGCAAGCUUGAGUCUCGUAGAGGGGGGUAGAAUUCCAGGUGUAGCGGUGAAAUGCGUAGAGAUCUGGAGGAAUACCGGUGGCGAAGGCGGCCCCCUGGACGAAGACUGACGCUCAGGUGCGAAAGCGUGGGGAGCGAACAGG
rnacentral:rRNA from 1 species